rnacentral:rRNA from 1 species
CAGCCGCCACGGGAACACCGAGGGUGCAAGCGUUAAUCGGAAUUACUGGGCGUAAAGCGCGCGUAGGUGGUUUGUUAAGUUGGAUGUGAAAGCCCCGGGCUCAACCUGGGAACUGCAUCCAAAACUGGCAAGCUAGAGUACGGUAGAGGGUGGUGGAAUUUCCUGUGUAGCGGUGAAAUGCUUAGAUAUAGGAAGGAACACCAGUGGCGAAGGCGACCACCUGGACUGAUACUGACACUGAGGUGCGAAAGCGUGGGGAGCAAACAGGAUUAGAUACCCCGGUAGUCCCUGUCUCUUAUAC